UAUAUAUAAAAGAAGCCAAAGCGGCGCCGGGACAAAAAGGCUCCCGAGAGCCUUUCUCUUUAAGAGAGAAGCAGAAAAAUAAAAUAAAAGAAAGCAAAAGAGGGAGUCUUUUUGUAGAAAAAUUGUGAUCUACGAAGAUCUAACGGUCCGAUCUUCGAUCCGUCUUUGGAAACGUGAUCUUUGCACUUGGAUCUACAUUUUCACCGAUCGUUUUGAGGUAAUGGGUUACUUGGAACUUGCUUAAGACUACCCAAACCAUGGGUUUUGGUUUGGGUGAAUUUUGACAUUGAUGCUUUGGUUGCAGGUUCUACGGAUAUAGAUAUUGACUCAUCCACCUAGUGUAUGGGAUACUAUGAUUGGAGCACAUCGCGACAGUCAUAAGUCACAGACUCAUGGGUAGUCCGCAUUUUGGGUAUUUUAUCUAUGGCUCAUGUCCUACGUGGCACAUGUAUUUGUUGAGCCUAUAUUUUAGAAUGUAAUUAGUGUAAUAUGUUAUAUAAGCCUUAAAUAGAUAGACUUGUAAAUGGCUCUUGUUGUAAUUAACUGUUGUAUAUUAGAUGUAUUUCCGCUUAUGAUAUGUGUUCCCCUGCACAUUGAUUACUA